rnacentral:rRNA from 1 species
GAACGCGAAGAACCUUACCAGGUCUUGACAUACUCGGAAUCUUUUGGAAGCAAAGGAGUGCCUUCGGGAACCGAGAUACAGGUGGUGCAUGGCUGUCGACAGCUCGUGUCGUGAGAUGUUGGGUUAAGUCCCGCAACGAGCGAAACCCCUAUCAUUAGUUGCCAUCAUUAAGUUGGGGACUCUAAUGAAACUGCCUGCGAAGAGCAGGAGGAAGGUGGGGAUGACGUCAAGUCAUCAUGCCCCUUAUGAUCUGGGCUACACACGUGCUACAAUGGGUAGUACAAAGAGGAGCGAAAUAGCGAUAUGGAGCAAAUCUCAAAAGCUACUCUCAGUUCGGAUUGAAGUCUGCAACUCGACUUCAUGAAGUUGGAAUCACUAGUAAUCGCAAAUCAGCAAUGUUGCGGUGAAUACGUUCUCGGGUCUUGUACACACC